UACGUAGGGUGCAAGCGUUGUCCGGAUUUAUUGGGCGUAAAGGGUUCGUAGGCGGUUUGUCGCGUCUGUUGUGAAAACUCAGGGCUUAACCCUGAGCCUGCAGUGGGUACGGGCAGACUAGAGUGUGGUAGGGGAGAUCGGAAUUCCUGGUGUAGCGGUGGAAUGCGCAGAUAUCAGGAGGAACACCGGUGGCGAAGGCGGAUCUCUGGGCCAUAACUGACGCUGAGGAGCGAAAGCAUGGGGAGCGAACAGG
rnacentral:rRNA from 1 species